AGAUGAACAUGUUCAUUCUUCUUCUGCUUGCUCUCUCUCUGCCUUGUUGUACAGGCCAGAGUAUGGAGUCCAUUCCUUCCAGUCCAGUGGUGAAAAAGCCUGGAGAGACUCUGAGUCUCUCCUGCAGAGGAGCUGGGUUCUCGUUUGGGUCCUACACCAUGCACUGGAUCAGACAACCUGUGGGAAAGUCACUGGACUGGAUGGGAUAUGUUUAUUACGAUGCAAGUGGAACUGACUAUUCGAGUGCUUUACAAAGUCGGAUAGAAAUCACCAGAGAUAACAGUAACAGCAUGGUGUAUCUGAGUCUGUCUGGCUUAAGGCCAGAUGAUUCUGCUGUGUAUUACUGUGCCAGACAAGCACAGUGUUCAAAGUGCAUGGAGAGGCUGAACAAAAACCCUUCAAAGAAUAUUUGUUCUGUCACCAGGUGA